AACCUAUGCCUGUUGCCACCACACAGACUACAGAAAAAAUGACUAUUUCAAAUUAGGCCAAAGAGAGAAAGAGGGAAGAAAGGAAGCUACAAAGAACUUGGAACUGGCUUGACAUUGUAGCUCACAUCUGUAAUCCUGUGAGGAAAGGAUAAUCACAUGUUUAAUACAUUAGAAGAUUAAAGCUCAUCAAAGCAUCAGAGCACUUUGGGAGGCCAAAUGGGAGGAUCACUUGAGUCCAAGAGUUCGAGACCAGCCUGGGCAAUAUAACAACACCCCAUCUCUGCAAAACAAAGAAUGUGAAACCACCAACCUUCAUGUAUUUGUAGUCUGAAAGCCUCAAAUGGAUCACUUAGUACAUAUUGAUAGUGUCAACAGGCAGACACCAGGCAGGAGCAAAUGCAGUACUCUGGAUGACACAUCUCUCAAAUAAUUCCCCUAAACAUAUAUUAUAUGGAAUUUCUUAUCUUUCUGGUCAAGAUACAAUAACAGUGACUGGAUUUACACUUUCAUCUGUUUUGAAGAGACAGAGCCAAGAGUCCAGGGAAACCAAUGCAGCUAGAGCUUGCUGAGGACAGAAUACCAGAGAGAAAAGAGAGGCACAGAGUAUUCCAGAUAUCUUUCGAGGGUCUUUCUCAAGUGAGUCUUUCUCAAGUGUUUAGAUGGGUACUGGUGAAUACAUGUGUGUGAGGAAACUCCACAACACUGGGAAAAGAAACAUUUGAAAAGGAUUAGAGGGAGCAUUGCUGAGGACUCAUAGGGCUGGAGAAUAAUUCCUGUUCCAACCAGCCAGACUGAAAAGAUAUUAAUUCGUGAAUCAUUAGGUAGCAUGCUUAGGAAUGUUUUGCCUCAGUAGUAGAGAAUAAUUGGACCAAACUCAACACUGCCCUGGACUUGCCUAAUAAAUUACAAAAACAGGAUCUAAAAGGAUCAAACUAUUUCCAAGUAAUUUCAUCCCAAAACAAAGCUGAAAACCAUAUAUCCAAAAACACAAAUUUACUCCUAACACCCACAACCUGUCAAUGUGUUCUUAUUGGCAAAAAAAAAAGUUUUUGCGGUUGUAGUUAAGGAUUUCAAAAUGAUACCAUUCUGGAUUAUCCAGGCGGGCCCAAAUUCCAAUGAGAAAUGUCUUUGUAAGAGAUACACAGAGUAGAGACACAUGGGUGGAACAGUAAAAUGCCAUGUGAAAGUCAAGGCAGAGACUGGAAUUAUACAGCUGUGGGUGAGGGAAUGCCUGGAGCCACCAUAAGCUGGAAGACCCAAGGAAGGAUUUCUACCCUAGAAGAGGCAUGGCCCUGUGAACACCUUGACUUCAGGCAUCUGGCCUCCUGAAGCAUGAGAGAAUAAAUGUUUGCUGUUUUAAGCCACCAAGUUCGUGGUAACUUGUUACAGCAGCCUUAGGAAACUAGUACACCAGGCAUGCCAAUAAGAAGGAAAAUAACACCCACGAUAAGUGAAAAGUCAAUCAAUUGAAACCAACUCCAAAAUGGCACAGAUGUUGCAAUUAGCAGGCAUGGAUAUAAGUUAUUAUAACUGUAUGCCAUUUGUUCAAAAGUUAGAGACAUAUAUGAUUUUUUAAAAGUAGUAUCUUUUCAUACCACAAUGGAAUAGAACUAGUAAUCAAUAGCAAGAGGAACAUUGGAAAUUGUACAAAUACAUGGAAAUUAAACAACAUGCUCCUCAACAAUCAUAGGGUCAGUGAAGAAAUUAUAAAGGAAAUCAAAAACUUCUUGAAACAAAUGAAAAUCAAAAUAUAACAUACCAAAACCUAUGGGAUGCAGCAAAAGUGAUACUAAUAGGGAAAUUUAUAGUAAUAAACUCCAAAUAAACAACGUAACAAUGCACUGCAAGAAACUAGGAAAUCCAGGACAAACUAAACUCAAAAUUAAUAGAAGCAAAAAAAAUAAAGAUCAGAGCAGAAUUAACCAAGGUAGACACUAAAAAAUACACAUAGGAGCAAUAAAACAAAAGGUUGUUUUUAUGAAAAGAUUUUAAAAGUCAAUAAACCAUUAGCUAGCCUAAACAAGAAAAAAGAGAGAAAAUCCCAAAAAAAUCAGAAAUGAAAAAGGAGACAUUACAACAGAUGCCACUAAAAAACAAAAGAUCAUUAGAGACUAUUUGAACAACUAUACCCUAACAAAUUAGAAAACCUAGAGGAAAUGGAUAAACACGUGGACACUUACAACCCUACCAAGAUUGGACUAGGAGGAAAUAGAAAACCUGAACAGACAAAUAACAAGUAGCAGGAUUGAGUCAGUAAUAAAAAGUCCCCCAAAUGAAAAGCCCGGGACCAGAUGGCUUCACUGCUGAAUUCUACCAAACUUAUAAAAAAGAAUUAACACCAAUUCUUCUCAAACUUUCAGAAAAUUGAAGAGGAAGGAAUUCUUUUUAACUCAUUCCAUGAGCCCAGCAUUACCUGGAUACCAAAAUCAGAAAACACACAACAACAAAGAAGAAAACUAUAGGCCAAUAUCCCUGAUGAAUGUAGAUGUGAAAAUCCUCAACAAAAUACUAGCAAGCUGAAUCAAACAACAUAUUUUUUUUUUUAAAAAAAGCACCAUGAUCAAGUGGGAUUUAUUCCAGGGAUGCAAGGAUGGUUCACACAGAAAUCAAUAAAUGUGAAGCUUUGUGCAGAGGCAGUAUCAUAGCCAGUGAGGUUUAGCCACGUUGUGAUUAUUGCUAAUUGAAAACUUUUCCCCAUAGCUCACCGUGACGACUUGUAAUACAGCAAGCAUUAAAAAUAAAAUAAAUAUGACACAUUACCAACAGAAUGAAGGAGAAAUACCAUAUGAUAACCUCAAUAGAUGGCCAAAAAUUUUUUUGAUAAAUUUAACAUCUCUUCAUGAUAAAACUUCUCAACAAAUUAGGCAUAGAAGAAACAUAUCUCAACAGAAGAAAGGCCCUGCUAUGGAUGAAAGAUAUUUACAUGCCAGGAUGAUGCAG
rnacentral:lncRNA from 1 species